AUGUGCAGGCUCCGCCGCCGGCCUGGGACCUCCAGAGGGUGCAUUGUGGCAUCUGUGCCGGGGUCAUCCCAGCAGAGAGGGGCCCGGUGGCCGAGGCAGAGGGAACAGCACGUACAGAGGAUCGGAGGCCGGGGCACCCCUGGCUUGCUUGUGACAGGUGUGACAGGUGCUGGUGGAGUUUGCAGGGAGGUGGGUCUGUGUCUGGGGUUGAGGAGGGGACCUGGUAGGUGGAGUCAGAGCUGGGACACGGAAACAGACUCGUCCAUACAGCUGCCAGUCUGGGACGGAGAGCGGAGCCGGCGCUGGCACCGGGCAAGGGGCCCAGUGGAGCUGCCCCUGAGGGAAGGCUCCGGGUGUGGGGACAAGUGUGGGCAUCUGUGCUGCCAGGUGCAGGGCAGGUGUGGGCAUCUGUGCCUGCAGGUGCAGGGCAAGUGUGGGCGUCUGUCCUGCAGGUGCAGGGCAGGUGUGGGCGUCUGUGCCUCCAGGCCCUUGCUGGGAUCUCCCCACCCCAUCCUGGAGCCAAGCUCCUCCUGUCCCUCCUGCAGCGUCCCGCCGUGCAGCUCAAGCCAAGAGCAUCUAGGCCUUUGUUACUGGCAUGUCGGCUACAGGGUGGUAGCCUGGGAGAGCUCCCAAGGCCAUGUCCCUUGGGGUGCAGGAGCCUCUGAGACCCAGCUGGAGUCUCCAGGCUGCCUUGGAGGGGUGGGGUGGGGGGCUGGCAUGCCUGUGUCCCAGAGCAAACCCAGUGUUUCAGAAGAGGCAGCAGGCACCAGCCGAGCGCUGCCGGAGAGAGGGGAGACCACACCUAAGACUGGCUCUCGGCUCUGGGGCGCAGGACAAUCUCAGGGCAGAAGACGUGGAUGCUCAGCAGGCCGGGAAGGGCACAAGUGUGGCGAGGCCUGACCGGGGCCCCUGGGGUUUCUUUCCCUAUCUCUGGAGCCCAGGAGAGCAGCAGCCGGGACCUCAUCUCCUUGUGGGUGGACUGCCACCUGCUCAUGUGGCCUUGGAGGGCACUGCCCGCCUCAGCUGGGGGCACAGGUGAGUGGAAUGAUGGGGUGUGGGUCCGUUCUGUCCACAGUCACACCACCAAGCAAAGCACCUGGCGCGUGCAGGUGUUCCUGGAUAUUGGACGCACGAGAAAGUGCAAAGGCCCUGUGGUCGUUGGCAGCCUUCACUCAAGUUUGCCUCUGUGGGCAGUCUCAUCAGACACCAAGAGGUGGUUCCGUCUGUCUUUCGGGAGGGUCCAUUUGUCUCUCCCAGUGAGGUCUCAUCCACAGCUCUCAGCUCCUCCGUAAAGAGCCAAGGGCAACGGUGUGGCACAUGCGUCAGGAGCCAGUGGGACAGAGCAGGAGCCCUGGCUGUGGAUCCCAGCCUGAAUAGCAGAGGAGUUACCCAGACCUGUGUUGAGACAUGCAAUUUUCAUGGGUUUCGUCUCCCGUUGUGGACCAAUUUGGAAGAACCAAAAUAUAUAAUUUUAAAAAGCUGAAACACGCUCUGAUAAUGCCAGUGAUGUGUAAAUGAGAGAGAGAAUAGACGGGCUGCUUAAUUAUGUGAGCAUCCUAUUAUGAAGCCUCUCGCAGCUAAAAUUAGACGCUGAGCGCAUGCAUAUGCAAUACAGUUCGACCAACAGUGCAUUGGCCGCCUCAGAGGAGCAGGGGCCGCUUGGUGCCUGGGGGAGGAGGCCGUGCCGAGGUCAGCCCUGGGGGCCGCAGGAAUGCCCAGGCAGCGGGCUUGUUGGCUUUUGCCCUGGAAGUGUGUCGCAGGUGCUCGGAACCUGAGGCCUCCCGAGUGCUCCUUUGAGGCUUAGGGUUAAGUGCCAGGUCUGACCUCACCCUGACCACCCCUGGUGAGCAUGGGGUGGCCACGGCGGGAGCAAAAUGUGGAAAUAACGUGGUAAUGGCCA
ensembl:lncRNA